AGGUCGAUGGGGAGCUAGAGAUGAGGAAGAGGGAGAGAGGUUGAGGAGAGGACAAGGGGAGGCAGAGCCGCCGGCCUCCGGCGACGGCGCUGCCGUCCGGUGGCGGCGGCAGGAAGGGGGCCGAGGGAGAGAGAAAAGGGAAGUGGGGGCUGCGUGAGUUUUGUGAGCAAUUAGGGUGUGGAUGUGUGUAAAUUAGGGGAGUUGGAAGAGUGGACUUGGGCUUGGGCCUAGGAUAGUUUGUUUUUAAAUGGGCUCAGAUUUAUGAAAUGAUUGGGCUAUAAUUUGAUUAAUUAUUGCACUAAUUUAUUUUAUCAAAAGGCUUGCAUUUGCAUAUUAUUUUACAAAGAAUGUCAUAUUUGGACUUCAUAUUUUAAUUUUCAUUAUUAAGUUGGACUUGAUUUUAUUAAAUCCCAACUCAAAUUUUUAAUAAGAGCCUGCAUUUUAUUAUUUGAUUCAUUAGACCAACUAUUUCCAAAUUAUUUUAUGAUAAUAAAUUCUUAAGAUUUAAACUACUAUUAUUAUUAUUUUAAAGUUCAAUUAGGCCCUUAUAUUUUAUUAUUUGAAUUUAUCUGACUAGGUGCGGCGCGACUAGGACGUAUAUUUUGAUUGAAUUACUCAUAAUUAGCUUUCAAGUUGAAGUUCAAAAUUCAGGUGUGGGAUUUAUUUCAGUACAUGCCGUGGUUAAUUUUUGUCCAUUUUAAUAUCAUGUGUUUACCAUAUGUGAGUUGCAUUAAAUUAUAUCGCUAGGGGCCCGCUCAAUGGGUCCAGGACUUCACAGUCCUUGGUAUGCCACAAUGCGAUUUCAUGUUAAAGUUAUGGUUGCAACCAGUCGCCAGGGCCCGGCUCAAUCGGUCCAGGACGGAAAGGUCCUUGGUUUUAAAGACCGGAGGCGCGUGGAAGGUCGAAUGGCGAAUCAAAUAUUUUGAAUUUAGCAUUACUUAAAAAUGUUAUUUUGAGUAAAGUAUGUUUAAAUAAAAAUUUACUUCCUGAUUUUCUCUUUAAAUAUUUAUUUAUA